rnacentral:lncRNA from 1 species
AAUCGGCUAACUAAUUUUUUAAUUUGUUAGAUUUGAAUUAGUCUGUCAACGUUAAGUACUUCAAACUUUAAACUAAUUAUUUUAAUAAAUUCAUAGCUACAAAAAUUACAUAAAGUAUUCUAAUUAAACUGUAAAGAUAAACAACACGUUUAGAUUUUUAAGUCAAUGUGCGGUUGACGGACUCAAACCAAAUAAAUUGAAAGAUUGAAUAGCAAAAUUAAAAUUUUAAAAAAUUAGAAAGUUAACUUAAAAUAAUCUAUAAUUUUCUGUACAAUCUUAUU